rnacentral:rRNA from 1 species
UACGUAGGGGGGCAAGCGUUGUUCGGAAUUACUGGGCGUAAAGGGCGCGUAGGCGGCACGACAAGUCGGGAGUGAAAGCCCGGGGCUCAACCCCGGAAUGUCUCUCGAAACUGUCGAGCUAGAGUGCGGAAGAGGCAACUGGAAUUCCCAGUGUAGCGGUGAAAUGCGCAGAUAUCAGGAGGAACACCAAUUGCGAAGGCAGCUCGCUGGGACGUUACUGACGCUGAGACGCGAAAGCGUGGGGAGCAAACAGG